rnacentral:lncRNA from 1 species
AUGGUGAGGCGGAACAGGGGCAUCAGAUCUCUUAAACUGCUUCCUGCCGUCUAAGGAUGUCAUCACCUUUGCUGUGUAGCUGACCUUCACCAUUGGGACUCAUUCGAUAGUCGUUUGCAUCAGGCUCUUCAGUAGACAGUGGCUGGUUGUGCUGAGUCAGACCUGAAGGGCACACAAGGCUUCCCCUCGGCUUCUCUUCACAUUACCUUCAGAGUUAGCUCGGUGGUUUUAAAAGUUCAAGUG